rnacentral:rRNA from 1 species
GACGAACGCUGGCGGCGUGCCUAAUACAUGCAAGUCGAGCGAGCUUGCCUAGAUGAAUUUGGUGCUUGCACCAGAUGAAACUAGAUACAAGCGAGCGGCGGACGGGUGAGUAACACGUGGGUAACCUGCCCAAGAGACUGGGAUAACACCUGGAAACAGAUGCUAAUACCGGAUAACAACACUAGACGCAUGUCUAGAGUUUAAAAGAUGGUUCUGCUAUGACUCUUGGAUGGACCUGCGGUGCAUUAGCUAGUUGGUAAGGCAACGGCUUACCAAGGCAAUGAUGCGUAGCCGAGUUGAGAGACUGAUCGGCCACAUUGGGACUGAGACACGGCCCAGACUCCUACGGGAGGCAGCAGUAGGGAAUCUUCCACAAUGGACGCAAGUCUGAUGGAGCAACGCCGCGUGAGUGAAGAAGGGUUUCGGCUCGUAAAGCCCUGUUGGUAGUGAAGAAAGAUAGAGGUAGUAACUGGCCUUUAUUUGACGGUAAUUACUUAGAAAGUCACGGCUAACUACGUG